rnacentral:rRNA from 1 species
ACCUACCUAUUAGAGGGGGAUAACUAUUGGAAACGAUAGCUAAUACCGCAUAACAGUAUGUAACACAUGUUAGAUGCUUGAAAGAUGCAAUUGCAUCGCUAGUAGAUGGACCUGCGUUGUAUUAGCUAGUAGGUAGGGUAAAGGCCUACCUAGGCAACGAUACAUAGCCGACCUGAGAGGGUGAUCGGCCACACUGGGACUGAGACACGGCCCAGACUCCUACGGGAGGCAGCAGUAGGGAAUCUUCGGCAAUGGGGGGAACCCUGACCGAGCAACGCCGCGUGAGUGAAGAAGGUUUUCGGAUCGUAAAGCUCUGUUGUUAAGGAAGAACGAGUGUGAGAAUGGAAAGUUCAUGCUGUGACGGUACUUAACCAGAAAGGGACGGCUAACUACGUGCCAGCAGCCGCGGUAAUACGUAGGUCCCGAGCGUCGUCCGGAUUUAUUGGGCGUAAAGCGAGCGCAGGCGGUUAGAAAAGUCUGAAGUGAAAGGCAGUGGCUCAACCAUUGUAGGCUUUGGAAACUGUUUAACUUGAGUGCAGAAGGGGAGAGUGGAAUUCCAUGUGUAGCGGUGAAAUGCGUAGAUAUAUGGAGGAACA